UUUAUAACAAACCCCUUUCAACCUGACUUUAUGCUAACAAGUUGACUCCCUAAGGAAGGGGGUUGGUUGCCAGGGGAACCAACCAGGUGAUAGUAGGUUGGAACUUUCAGCCCCUCCCCUCCAGACCUCUGAGCCUAUCACCAAUGGCAAAUGAUUUAACCAAUUGUGCCUAAGUAACAGAACCUCCCUAAAAACUCUAAGCAAGGACUCUGGAGAGCUUCCAGGCUGGUGAACAAACCAGCAUGCUGGGAUGGUGGUUCAUCUGGAUAGGAACACCUUCCCCUUGGAGUUAUACUACCCUGGACACACAAGAACAAUUGAAUCUCAACUUUAAAGCCAGCACAGACUUAGAAUUCUUCGGACAUCCACAAUCUAAACAUCUGUAUAACCAGAGAGGCUCUGAAAUGCCAUUACUCAUUUUGAAAAACAGACCCGAUUAGUUCCAAUCUUUUGAGCUCACAACAUUUUA